UUUUUUUUUUGAGACAGUUUCCCUCUGUCACCCAGGCUGGAGUGCGGUGGUGAGAUCUCAGCUCACUGCAAGCUCUGCCUCCCGGGUUCAUGCAAUUCUCCAGCCUCAGCCUCCCAGUAGCUGGGACUACAGGCACCCGCCACCACGCCUGGCUAAUUGUUUGUAUUUUUAGUAGAGACGGGGUUUCACCGUGUUAGCCAGGAUGGUCUCGGUUUCCUGACCUCGUGAUCUGCCACCUCGGCCUCCCAAAGUGCUGGGAUUAUAGGUGUGAGCCACCACGCCGGGCCGUAUGUGUGUACCUCUUUACAAGUCUUGCCUGACCUUCGCAUUUAAAAAUUACUGAAAAACUUAAGGAUGUAACUGACAAGAACUUUAUAGGUUUCUCCAAGUAAAAAUUUGGAAAAGUUAAGUGAACCCAUAAUGUGUUUUAUUUCUAUGAGUCCCACACUUGGAUUUUUAAAUGUGGGCAAAACAUCUGUAUGUUCUUCAGCCUGAUUUCCGUGGAAUCGUGAAUGAAACGUGCUGAAGUUGCCGUGCGGAUUUUGUUAUGUGGCGGUGACAAGUGGGGCUGGUCAUUAAACAACUGGAGGAACCCUGUCCUUUCUGUGCUCCUGUUGGACACUAGGCACGUGCUUGGGUGUUUUCUGUGUGUGUGGACAAGAUGACGACAGAAUUUCCAGAUUCACACGGUGGUAUCUUCUCCCUUUUCUGUUAAAACGUGUCUUCUGCUGCUUCUACAUAGACCAAGUGUUUCUUUCUCUCGCCUGUCUACAUAAACGCUGUUUAACAAAAACCGUAUUGUAGACAUGUGAAGCUGAAUUCCACAUGAUCAAGCAGAUAGAGAUGACUGAGUAUACUGUUUUGUGGAAGGAAGGUUUAAAAUGAUUUUUAGCUUUUUCCCUGAAAUAGGGAAUACUUUUAACUUUUUCCCUGAGAUAGGGAAUAAUGAAAUGGGAAAAUAAUUAAAUUUUCCCAUGUAAUUGUUAGAUUAUAUUUAAUUAUUAGAUUAUUCAUGUAUUGCAAGGGAAAAAGGAACUAGAUCACCCCAUGUACCCAAAUGAAAAUUUAAAGGGUAUGGGCGAGUUCAUUUGAACUCCUUUAAUUUGUUUUUGUUUGUUUGUUUUUGACAGUCUCACUCUGUUUCUCAGGCUGGGUGCAGUAGUGCAAUGACAGCUCACUGCAACCCCAACGUUCUAGGCUCAAGUGAUUCUCCUGCGUCAGCCUCCCCAACUGCUGGGAUUUACAGGCGUUAACCACCACACACAGCUUAUCACCUCUUGGAGACUAGCUUUGAGUUUGGGCAUUCACUGAACUAUAUUUUAGUUAAUUCUCAAAGUUUGUCACUGUUUAUCUUUAAUUUGCUAAAAAUCUACAUGUAUUGUAAAAUGCGUUACAUUUCCUUAGCAUUCACGGAUUCCCUGUUAGUGGGGCAGAGACACAGAAGGGCAGAAGGCGUUCGGACAUCAUCAGGGUUGCAGUUGAGUCCUUGCCCCGAACACACUGGAGCUCUGGGCUCUGUGGUCCCACGGGGGUCCUCUGUCCACUGAGGGGGACGGGUUACCUGGAAGGUCCCUCCAGCCUCUGCAAUUUUGCCCUUUUCAGGUUAACAUCUCAUCAUUGUCCUGGACAGCACUGCCUUUCGUUCACUGAUCCACGAGUGAACAGCUGGUCAGUGGCCAGUGCUGCUUCCUUCAGCUGGGAGGUGGUGAUGUGAUAACACUUCCGUGGAAUUUGGUUCUUGGUGUAUUAAGGGUUCAGUUGUAUGUUUAUUUUUAAUCUGCACCUCUGAAUUGGUCUUUUGAUUGCAAAGAGAUUGCUUACUGGAUUUGUUUCUGAAUAUUUGGUGGAUAACAGGAGAACCUUGCUUAUCUGUGUGUUCAUUUAGUGUGUUUUUGCCAGGCAUUUAUAUGGUUGUGUUAGCCCUCAGCCCACUUUCUGUGUGUGGUGGAGUCAUUGAAAUCAUUUAUGUGAAGUCUCUCCUCUUUUAAGGCCAGAGGACGUGGGGUGGUGUCUCCCUAAACUAGGGGGAAAUGGCAUUGUUCUGCCCUCCUCCCUGGGAAUGCUGGUGUUUCCAGGUCUCUGAACUUGGCUCCCACACUGGGAGAGUAGCUGUGGCUUCUGGAGCCCGUUUUGUGCGGGACUGACUCCUUCACUUGCUUUAUUCCCCACUGUCUUUGCUGCUUUAUGACGCAGGGAUGAGGGAGUUGGGCCCAGGGGCCUUGCCUGUGCCUGAAGGGCCCGAUGCAGAAAACUCCUCAUGGGAAGGAUGUUCCUUGAGGGCAGCUUUUGGAGUCUUUUCCUACUUUUAACUGAGAAGCAGCUAUUCACAUGGUUCUAUUCUGCUGGUGUGUUUCAAAAUAACUGGUGUAGAGUUGUGAAGAUGUCCGAGACACCCAUGAUCCACUCCGGGCCAGUGCAGGACAUUGAGCUCAGAAUCCUUCAGACCAUUCAGAUGCCAAAGAUUCUUGCUUGGUUAUUCUCAAACUUAUGAGAAUCUAAAACGCGAGCCACGGUAUGGAUUUUCUCUUGAGCCCCCAUGACUUUGCCUUGUAUUUUGGGCAUGAAUGACUUCAUCAAGGGGAAAGAAUUUGAGGAAGGAGCCUCUGAGGCUAGGAGGGGGUGGGAAGGGGCGGGGGGAAGAGGAGGGAAAAGGAGCUAUAGAGGGAGGAGCCAGGCUGGGGCUGGGGCGUCUCCCCAUGAUGCUCCCCCACCCCUGGCGCGAGGCCCCAGAGACUGACUGAUUUUCCCACAGGAAAUGUGUAUGAUUGCAUGUCUGUUUUGUGGGCUGGCCAUUUGGAUUGAGGGAAUGUCUGUGUUGUGAUUCCUUAUUGAUUCGAAGGUUGGAAAGGUUUGUGCUCAAUACAGGGGUCUCUUGGUGCGAUGGGAAAAUGUGAUCGCAGCCGCCUUCGGGGUGGGGAGAGCCCUCGAGGCCCUCAGUGGUGGCCGGCGUCAGCCUUCGCUUCCCUGGGUGAGCUGCCCUCAGGGUGGGAAGGGAGGUCCUCGGUGGUGGCCGCUGUUGGCCUUCGCCUCCCUGGGUGAGGGCUGCUCCAUCCCCGGCUCUCCGACUCCUUGCCUGGCACCUUCCUCGUUGGAGGCCGUGAUCCAUCAACUUUGUCCACGCGUGUCCUGCAGACUAAUGCUGACUGGAGGUUCAGGAGUGGUCAGAAGAGGCCAGAGGAGGCCCUCGUGAUGCGAAGCUAAACGUUUAAUGAUGGCGCUGUUGAGUGCAUGAGCCGCGUCAGCCCAAGAGUCUGGUGCCCAGGAGGCUGAUGCCACAUAGAAGACCUGCAGGUCGGUGGAUGUGAAACAGGCAUCGGACACGCUGUGCACCUUGGGACGCAUCUGAGAAGUGUGUGCUUGCAGCAGAUCUGAGGGUGACCCUGGGAGUUUGAAGAUGAGUGAGACAAGCCCUCUGUGUCUUGUGGAUUUUACUGUCCAGAGGGGAGACAGAUGUGGAUGGUGAAGGAGGCCCUAUCAGAGUAUUGAUUUGACAAGGGAAAUGGUGAGAACCAAAUGUGCCGCCCAGCUUGGGCCUCGCCGUUGGCAGAAGACCGUGGCGGGCAACAGACUGGAGACUCGGAGACCGAGGGGAGAAUUCUCAUGCCUUGACGCUGGUGCAGUGUGUGCUUCUGGACUCCUGCUGGAGGGAGCUGCCCCUUUGCCUUGCAGGCUUUGGUGCAGUGGAGACCUUAGGACCUGCCCCUCCUGGCACACCUGUGGGUGUGGCGAGCAGUGCCAGGGCUGAAGCACAGGUGCUGAGCCCGGAACGUGGGACGGGAGAGGCUGCACACGCCGGCAGGCGUCUUCUCCAGCAGCCGGGGGUUUCCGCAAGGGGGCGGGGCGUUGGUUUUCCUCCUUGAAUUUGGGUGGAGAGGGUGUCCUGGGGUGCUGUCUGCACUUGUGUUGCUCUGAGGUCAAGUUGUGGCCCCGAGUCCCUGUCCCUCUGCAAAGUGAGGGUUUGCCCAUUUUCAGGUCAGAUUUCCCUUGGGUCCGGGUCUCUAGGAGUGGGGCGCAUUCCAAGGGGGCGUGAGCACGGUGGACGCCCGUGGGCCUCUUCCUCUCCCCUCAGCUCCUGGGCUGUGUGUGAAGAGCUGCCCAGCGGAAUCACCCUCCUGCCUGGUGUUUCAUUCACCAGAAAUCGUUCUCACUGUGGACUCUUGAGUCAAAUGUAAUCCAGGAAUGGAACGUGCUGUUGCUGGAUGCCACACACAGCAUCAGGAGCUUAGUUGGGGAUUAUAUGAUCUUACCCCACACCUUAAAAGUAAAGACUGUAGUUGUCAGGCGUCUGAGCCCAAGCCAAGCCAUCGCGUCCCCUGUGACUUGCACGUAUAUACGCCCAGAUGGCCUGAAGUAACUGAAGAAUCACAAAAGUGCAAAUGCCCUGCCUGGACUUAACUGAUAACAUUCUACCAGAAAUAAGUGAAAAUGGCCAGUCCUUGCCUUAAGCGAUGAUUUUUGUGUGUGUGUGUGAAAUUCUUUUUCCAGGCUCAUCCUGGCUCAAAAAGCUCCCCCACUGAGCACCUUGUGACCCCCACUCCUGCCCGCCAGAGAACAACCCCCAUUUGACUGUAAUAUUCCUUUACCUAACCAAAUCCUAUAAAACGGCCCCACACUUAGCUCCCUUCGCUGACUCUUUGGACUCAGCCCGCCUGCACCCAGGUGAAAUAAACAGCCAUGUUGCGCUCACAAACCCUGUUUGGUGGUCUCUUCACAUGGAUGUGCAUGACAAUAGUUAAGGGGAUAUUGAAGUCUUUGGCAGCUCCAAGAGCUUUUUCAGUUUGUGUCGGGCCAUUGUAGGCAGAAGGAAAUACUUGCUUAGAGACUCUUACAGAAAUGUUCGGUGCAGUGCCAUUAACUCGUGGAAUAAAUGUGUAACUUUCCAUGGCAGACCUCUGGAAAGAGAUGCUCUUUGAGUGCACCCUGGCCUGCUCGCUACAAGAAUCGGCCGUGUCACCCCGCUUUCCGUGGGUCUGCAGGUGUGCGUGGUCCAUUGCCCUGCACUGUGGCCAUGGAAGGGAAGAUGAUCUGGAAUGCUGGCGACAGUUAUCGGUGCGUGUUGAUGUGUGCUGCUUUCUACAGGGGAGAACAUUUCUGUUUAAUAAACAUCUCAUCUCGAUGAUGACUGCAAGAUAUUUGAGUCUCAUUCAAUAGUGUUUCUGGGUUCCUUCUGUUUUUAUCUGCUUUCUAGCACUAGGCAAGUGAAGACAUGGAAAGUAAAAACCCAUCGAACUUGUAGAGACAUGGUGUUGUGGAGGAGCAGACUGUAGCCUCUGGCUCUGUUUAAAGAUUGUAGUAAACCUCUUACCUGGCAUAGUCAGGGUGUAAAUUAUCUUGUUUAAUCGAAAUGUGUAUGAGUCAAAGCUGGCGCCUGCAUUGUCGAUGAAAUACCAGAUUUUAAGGGAACAUGUCAAUGUGCUGUAAGAUACCAACAAAGUUCCUCACUGAGGUUCGGCGCGGGUUCGGAGCAGCUGGGCCUUAGGUCACCAGGGUCGUCUCUGGGAGCAGAUGCUCAGUGUGGGCAUUAGUCACUUAGCCUUUCCAGAGCCGAGGAGCAGCUCUCUGUGGUGGUUUUUGGAACCUGUAUUUUGAGUCAGUUUGUCCCACUUGACUCGAAGUUGCCGCGCGAUUUCAGACCUUUGCCUCCACCGUGCGCUCGUUUUCUUGUCCCCUGAUAACUGCCUCGGUUGCCCCGGCCUGACAUUUGAGCCUCGUCGUUCAUGGACACAGGUUCCGUGGUGGGGCAAAUGCCGCGACUCCGGCUUGCACAGUUCUGUGACUCUCACCAUGGCUUAUCACAUCACUCCCGGGAUCUCCCGUUUAGAGGAAGAGUGUCCCUUUCCUGCAGGCCCUGUGUGGUGUGGAAACCACCCCUACCUACCUUUCUCCUGUUUGAACUGUACCGUGAAGCUAUUUCUGUUCUAGUCAACCGUCAGAAUUUAAGGAACAGUGAUUUAUGUAACUUAUCACACGCUUCUGAGCAAUUCUUUAUGAAUUUCAUUCUGUUGUGAAAUUAUUGCAGUUUUCAUGGCUAUGCUGGUCUCAUGUUGUGGCCCUUGAAAUGAAUUCCCUUCCCCAUUGUGUGUUAAGGUUGUGCCUGGGAGCUGUUGAGGCCUCACCUCUGCUUAGGGCAGUGGCUUUGCUCUCCUGACAACAGGAAGAAUCUUAUUUAGAGCACUUCUAAUGUAGUUUUUGCUUCCAGACAGAGUUACUUUUUUUCACAGAGACAGCCACUAAAGUCAUAAAUUAUGCUCAGGAUGCACACACACGGGUCAGCUGACAGAGUGGAGUCCAGAACAGAUCCAAAGAUGCAAAAGCAGUUCAGUGGAAUUUGAGUCUUUUCAACAAAUGGUGCUGGAAUUAUGGGACAGCCAUAUGCAAAAGAGUGAAAACAGGGAGAAAUUCCUGUAUGAAAAUUAAGGUGGAUCAUAGCCCUGAAUGUAAAAUACCAAACUACAAAACCUGCAGAACAAAGGGAAAUUGUGGAGACCUAGGGUGAGAGCUCUUAGCCAUACCAUGAUCCAUAAUCAAGGAAGAAAACAAGUAGGUAAGACUCAUCAAAAUUAAACUUCUAAUAUAAAAGACACCCCUAGGGAAUUGAAGAGACACAUUUUCGAUAGAUGGGGAGAAGAUGUCUACGAACCAUGCAGCCGGCAAAGGACUCGUAUCCAGAAUGCACAGGACUCCCACGGCUCAUGACAGAGAACAAACCACCUGACUUAAAAGCGGAAGAGACCUGAACAGAUGCUUCGCUGAGAAGGACGGGAGGAUGGCCCGAAAGCAUCUGAAAUGACCUUCAGCGUGACUGGUUGCACCCAGAUGUGCACCGAAGCCGCAGUGAAUUUGUUCACACCCCUGCUGGAGCGCCUGACUAAGGUCUUCCGACAGCCCCAGGUGCUGGUGAGGACCGGCAGUCGGGACUCCUGUGCGAUGCUGGGGUUCAGCACGGUGCAGACAGCUUGGCGGUUUCUUACAAAACUGAACUCACACAAACGUGGGUCCCAGUGACCCCAAUCCUGGGUAUUUACCCUAGAGAAACAGAAUCUGAUGUUUAAGAAAAACUGUGCCCAGAUGUUAAUAGCGCUGUCUAUAGUUGUCCAAAACAGGUUACAAUGUGCCACAGCCAUAUGUGGAAUAAUAAAUACCCAGCAGCCCCGAGGCCUGGCUGUUGAUCACAGGACACCCUGGGUGCACCUCCAAGCACGAUGCCCAGGAAAUUGUGAUUUUGCGAGUGUUUUGCCACAACGCUCGCAAAAGAUAGACCCGAGUCAUGGGAGGACACGGAGAGGGUGGUUGCUGAGAAUGGGAGGGUAUGCUUAUGAGGCCCCGUGAGUGGGUUUGGGGCUGUUGGACUGUUCUGCUUGUGUGAUGAUGAUUAUGGGAAUAUUUGUGCCGAAAUUCACAGAACUGAACACUGUCCACUUUACAGUAAUUUUUAAAAAGUGGUAAUAUGCUCAUUUUCGGUACUGUUUUUAAUGGAAGAUGGAGUUUGCAGAUGAUUUGUCAGGGCAAGCCUGUCUCAAGAGUUUGUAGACGAUUCGUUAGGGGCCUAUCUCAGGGCCCUUGGGUUGGGUUGGGUUGGGUUGGGUUGGGUUGGUUGGAAAAGCCUUCUCUGUUGUGGGCAGUAGUACGGGGCGUGGAAAGGAUAUUGCCAAGGAAACAUGUAGAAUCCUUUGAGGAAACGUGUAUUUCUAACUUGCUAUAAGAUAGAAUUGGAAAUUGUAAUGGUUUUGUUUUCUAGAGUCUUGGUAGAAUAGGGAAGACAGUGUAAUAAAAGCUAAUUUUGAAAUGAAGAAUUUUAAAGAUUUUCAACAGCAAUUGCUCUAGGAAGUCACCCUGGAAAUGUUUUUAAAGAUGUUCAAUAGCAAUAGCUCUAGGAAGAGUCACCCUGGAGUUGCUUCUUGAGCAUUGGUUUCCUGGCUGUAUCUUCCAACUUUCAUUUUUAAGUUUUGCUGUGAGUUGGGGAUGUGUGGGAAUAGCCAUCCCAGCCCUGCAGGGGGGUGCAUGUGCCCCGAGGCCUGAGGCACUGUUUCAACCUAGCUUGCAACAUGGGGACUCUUGUCAGUGGCUGGAGUAAGAGUACCAGCCUGGCAGGCUGGGGGGAGCCCCAGGGUGGUCUGGGCACUGUCCUCCCUGCCUGCAGGAUGGCAGCUGGAGGAGCUCGAAGGCUGCCUGCCUCGUGGCUGUCAGCGCAGCAGCCCCUCCUGGCCCUGGAGCAAUCUUUGGGUCCAUGAGUCUCUGCACCGGGACUUGCCUCCUGGGACCUCCGCCACUGUCCUGAGGGCCCUGGUGCCACUUUCCCGGUGGGACCCAAGCCUCAGGCAGCUGCGACCCCAGAUUCGGUUGCUUUCCCUGCCGUCUCAUUGCAGCACGAGUGCUCAUCUCACUCAAUGUAGAACCUCAGGUUCCUUCAAGAUCCCCAGAGAUGGAAUCUCCCAAUUUAACAAGAUAGUUGGUGACAAGAUUUGAGCGGCACUGAUUUAACUCAGCUUCCAGAGUUAAGUUCCCAAGACACAGUCCUGCUCCUUCCCUGGCCUCAUCCUGUGUGGCUGGUGUGGAUGCGGGGUUUCCGGAGGGUGGGGCUGUGGCAGGUCAGCAGCCAGGGGGAUGGCUCAUUAUUGAUCGCUCAAUGCCUUGAGGAUAACUAGGAUUAAUGACCUUUAUAGGGCUGUAGGUUUGGAGUAUAUAUAUAUGUGUGUGUAUAUAUAUACAUAUUUAAACGAGGUGGACACGGUUAUCACUGCAUUUUUCUGACAUGAAACUUGGAGAGCAGAGGGUUUAGGAAACUCCUGAAGCCACACUGUCAGCGGGACUCGGGCGGUCUGGCCUUAGACCCUGCACUGUUUGCCCCUCACCACGCUGUCAGCAGACCCGGGUGGUCUGGCCUUAGAACUCACGCUGGUCGCCCCUCCCUGCCACGUUGUGGGGUUUUUCCUGCUUCUGGGCAGCAUUUGAUAGCUUGUGAAACAAGACCAAGACUUACUAUGAGUGGAUUUGCCAUUAUCUGAGAUCCAGAACGUUUCCUGGACCUGGCGUUGCCGAUGUCACGUAAGGGAAGGUAAAAACAUUUUCAUUGUGGUCACUGGGGCUCCUGAAAUGGUAUUUUUCCCAGUGAAAGUUUACCAUAAAAAUCUGUUAACUCAAUACUAUGUGAACAGGAAGAAAUGUGUUGGGCUCUAGUUAAAUGUCUCAGAGCCACAGAAGUAAAUGAGGGCACCUUCCGAGCACAGCCUCCCGGAGGAGGCCAAGGACGUUUGUCUGGAGGGUUUGCCAUGAAGCAGGACUUGGGCAGGGCUGGUCUGCCUGGGGAGGCCUCUGCCAUGAUGUAGGUUAGGUGAAGUAGUUGACGGGUGGUGGCGUGAGGUCGGUGGUCCCCGAGGAAGCCCCUAGCAAGGCCGGUUUCCGUGGGAUGCAAAACUGCCAUUCAGUGGCUGUAAUCCUGGCUUCACGGGUCUGACAUACAAUCCUGCACUUGGAUACUUGGAUCCCAGCCAGGGCAGAUGGCCCUGAAAGGACAUUCGGACUGUGAUGGCUGCACCCAUUUUCAGCAUCUGUAGGGUCUCCUGUGUAUGUCUGUGUUUCCAUUUUCUUUCAGCACAAUUUCUCCCAGCGAAGUCGUGAGAAAUAGAAGGAAAGGUGGAAUGAAGAUGUGAUUGAGGAAAGUGUGGUGUGGUCUUCGACCUUAUUUUGCCUUGGUUGGUGCUCAAGAACUCCACCUGACCUCAGAGCUGAGCGUUUCUGCCAGGAAGUCCUGCCUUUUAUCCUACCUCGAGGCCUGUUGAGACACUCCAAGAAGCUUCGUUAACAAAUUGCCUUUUCCUUUUACAGCAGUUGGAUAUAUUUGCAGCAAAACAAAGGAAUAACCCCCCAAUAUGGUGAUGAAAUGCAUUUAAGUAUAGAUAGCAUUCAGUCUUGAAGGGCCUGGGAUUUUAAUCAUCUUUGGGUCAUGUAACAAGUGGUGUUGGUGAUUAAAAUCUCCUGACAGCUUUGUUCUGCCACGUUCCUCAGUUUUGAAUGAUGAUCUUCCUGGUGUUGUACCUUGGGAGGGGCGUUUGUGUCAGUAGAGAGCAGAGUGGUGGUUCCCAGAGGCUGCGAAAGGACAGAGGUGAGGCCCCUGAAGGACACUGGUCUUCCUGGUUUAGGGGUUUGGGGCUCAGCCACCUUCCUGUGUCCGUGUAAAUUAUACCCAGGAUCAUUUUCACUCGCGCCACUUUAGUUGAGCAUUGGAGCUUCAGGAUAUGUGUGCCCACGUCACCUGGGCCGUGAUCCUGGAGUUGGGUGAGACUGAUUCCCGGGUUUAUAGAAUUACUCUGGGAUUAUUGAAAACAGAAGCACUUGAGGCAUUCAUAAUGCUAUUUCCUGAACGUAAUUUAUGUUCAGUUCUUCAGAAACGUUUAUCUGAGGAAGCAUCUAUAAUUUUUGUUUUCUGCCACUCAGUGCUAGAAAGAAUUGUGCAACACUCAAGUGAGUGGCAUUAUUCCUCUCCCUCCACCAUGCAAGCAAGAUUAAUGGUACCUCUGGCUCCCCUCAAUCUUCUCGUCUGCAGGGUGCCUGGCGUGGCAGUGUGCUGCCUUCCGUCUUUUUGGGGAGAAUUAGUCGUGUUUGUGUGUACUGCUCAGCUCAGCCUGGUGCGGUUGUGUGAGUGAGGAGCUUGGAUGCUAGGUGACCCUCCCAGGCCUGCCUCCCACCUCCCUAGGCCUUGUUCUAAACUGACAGAUAAACAGUGUGUUUUGGAAGAGGACAGCAGCAGGGCAGGAGAGAGUUUGUUCAGACUUUCUCCUCGCACUGACGUUUGAGCCUUCAUCCAGCCUGGGCACUUCUACAGAGCUGCGUUUGUGUGUUGCAAACCAUUCCCUCCCAGUAACCGUGCUUUCAGAGGUUUGGAAAUGUGACUUAACUCAUCUUCAAUUUAAAGCGUACUAUUAAAUUUUAGUGUUGAAACUGAUGUAUUUUAUGGCCUUUAUUUGAUUUCUCUUGAUUUUUUUUUCCCCAUAUGAGACGUGGCAUCUUAAGGGAGACAGCCUGGUGUUGGCCGCCUUUCCUAAGGAUGGAAGUGAAUUCUGAAAGCCCUUUAUGUAGGCAGCGAAAUAAUCAGGGAACCAUUAUUAUAGCUAUGUCUGUCCAUGUAAAGCGAGCACGACUCAUAAGCAGAAAAAAGUGCAGCCCGGGGCCAAGGUGAGCCCUAAUGCUGCCUGUGCCUCACCUCCCUGCCAUGAGGAACGGAAGUGCAAGCGCAGGUGGUUGAGUUAGCCUCCAAGCCCAGCCUG